AAUCAACGCUGGCGGCGUGCCUAACACAUGCAAGUCGAACGCGAAAGUCCCGCAAGGGGCAAGUAGAGUGGCAAACGGGUGAGUAACGCGUGGGUGACCUACCUCAGAGUGGGGGAUAACCUUCCGAAAGGAGGGCUAAUACCGCAUGACAUACCGUGGUUGGAUACACGGAUAUCAAAGCCGGGGAUCGCAAGACCUGGCGCUUGGAGAGGGGCCCGCGUCCGAUUAGCUAGUUGGGAGGUC
rnacentral:rRNA from 1 species